rnacentral:rRNA from 1 species
UACGAAGGGGGCUAGCGUUGCUCGGAAUUACUGGGCGUAAAGGGCGCGUAGGCGGGUCGUUUAGUUAGAGGUGAAAGCCCAGGGCUCAACCCUGGAAUUGCCUUUAAUACUGGCGGCCUUGAGUAUGGCAGAGGUGAGUGGAACUGCGAGUGUAGAGGUGAAAUUCGUAGAUAUUCGCAAGAACACCAGUGGCGAAGGCGGCUCACUGGCCCGAUACUGACGCUGAGGCACGAAAGCGUGGGGAGCAAACAGG